rnacentral:rRNA from 1 species
AGAGCGAACGCUGGCGGCAGGCCUAACACAUGCAAGUCGAGCGCCCCGCAAGGGGAGCGGCAGACGGGAGAGUAACACGUGGGAACGUACCCUUCAGUUCGGAACAACCCAGGGAAACUUGGGCUAAUACCGAAUACGUCCGUAAGGAGAAAGAUUUAUCGCCGGAGGAUUGGCCCGCGUUCGAUUAGCUUGUUGGUGAGGUAACGGCUCACCAAGGCGAUGAUCGAUAGCUGGUCUGAGAGGAUGAUCAGCCACAUUGGGACUGAGACACGGCCCAAACUCCUACGGGAGGCAGCAGUGGGGAAUAUUGGACAAUGGGCGCAAGCCUGAUCCAGCCAUGCCGCGUGAGUGAUGACGGCCUUAGGGUGUAAAGCUCUUCGCUCGGGACGAUAAUGACGGUACCGAGAUAAGAAGCCCGGCUAACUUCGCGCCAGCAGCCGC